CCAGACUCCUACGGGAGGCAGCAGUGGGGAAUAUUGCACAAUGGGGGAAACCCUGAUGCAGCGACGCCGCGUGAGCGAUGAAGUAUUUCGGUAUGUAAAGCUCUAUCAGCAGGGAAGAAAAUGACGGUACCUGACUAAGAAGCCCCGGCUAACUACGUGCCAGCAGCCGCGGUAAUACGUAGGGGGCAAGCGUUAUCCGGAUUUACUGGGUGUAAAGGGAGCGUAGACGGUCCUGCAAGCCAGAUGUGAAAGCCCGGGGCUCAACCCCGGGACUGCAUUUGGAACUGUAAGGCUAGAGUGUCGGAGAGGCAGGCGGAAUUCCGUGUGUAGCGGUGAAAUGCGUAGAUAUACGGAGGAACACCAGUGGCGAAGGCGGCCUGCUGGACAUUAACUGACGCUGAGGCGCGAAAGCGUGGGGAGCAAACAGGAUUAGAUACCCCCGUAAC
rnacentral:rRNA from 1 species